rnacentral:rRNA from 1 species
UACGUAGGGUGCGAGCGUUGUCCGGAAUUAUUGGGCGUAAAGAGCUCGUAGGCGGCUUGUUGCGUCGACUGUGAAAACCCGCGGCUUAACUGCGGGCUUGCAGUUGAUACGGGCAGACUUGAGUUCGGUAGGGGAGACUGGAAUUCCUGGUGUAGCGGUGAAAUGCGCAGAUAUCAGGAGGAACACCGGUGGCGAAGGCGGUUCUCUGGGCAUGUCCUGACGCUGAGGAGCGAAAGUGUGGGGAGCGAACAGG